ACGCUCGACACCUACGGAGGCAGCAGUGGGGAAUAUUGCACAAUGGGGGAAACCCUGAUGCAGCGACGCCGCGUGGAGGAAGAAGGUCUUCGGAUUGUAAACUCCUGUUGUUGGGGAAAAAGAGGAUGGUACCCAACAAGGAAGUGACGGCUAACUACGUGCCAGCAGCCGUGGUAAUCUGAGGCGGGCUGGACAAGGC
rnacentral:rRNA from 1 species